rnacentral:rRNA from 1 species
GAUGAACGCUGGCGGCGUGCCUAAUACAUGCAAGUAGAACGCUGAAGGAAGGAGCUUGCUCUUUCCGGAUGAGUUGCGAACGGGUGAGUAACGCGUAGGUAACCUGCCUGGUAGCGGGGGAUAACUAUUGGAAACGAUAGCUAAUACCGCAUAACAGUAGAUGUUGCAUGAUAUCUACUUAAAAGGUGCAAUUGCACCACUACCAGAUGGACCUGCGUUGUAUUAGCUAGUUGGUGAGGUAACGGCUCACCAAGGCGACGAUACAUAGCCGACCUGAGAGGGUGAUCGGCCACACUGGGACUGAGACACGGCCCAGACUCCUACGGGAGGCAGCAGUAGGGAAUCUUCGGCAAUGGACGGAAGUCUGACCGAGCAACGCCGCGUGAGUGAAGAAGGGUUUCGAAUCGUAAAGCCCUGUUGUAAGAGAAGAACGAGUGUGAGAGUGGAAAGUUCACACUGUGACGGUAUCCUACCAGAAAGGGACGGCUAACUACGUG